rfam:Cajanus cajan Scaffold131724_3, whole genome shotgun sequence.
AAACCAUGAUUGGGACACUUCCUGAGCAAAGCUUUAUAUCUCUCCCAUGCCUCACACAAGGGUUCAUCAAUUCCUUGCACAAAUGUAGCAAUAGCGGCCUUGGCUU